GAAGUUGAAAAGAACUUUGAAGAGAGAGUUCAAAAGGGCGUGAAACCGCUUAGAAUAAAACGGACGGAGCCGUUACGUGGCUCGGCGGAAUCAGUCGUAUGACGCGCGAUAACGCGCUACUCGCUAGAGCGAAAGUCUAGCUGGUGCGUUAGUAAAUAGUAGCGUUCAUUCGAUGCAUUUCCGUCGGGUAAGCGUCGCGACCGAUGCGAACGACUAUCGAAACUAGCGAAUUGAGGUCGAGAUACUCCUCGUGGGUAUUUCGUAACCAGUUCGUUGGGUUCAUCGUUAGAUAAACGCAUCGAGCGUCGGUAAAUAAGUAACGCCGGCGUAAAAGCUCGCUUAAGCGAUCGAAAGUCGACGGAUUGGUCUAAGCCUGCUCGCAGGCUUCGAUUUAAUUCCAUCGUCGGCGUUUGAGAUCGCGGGCGACGCAUUACGGCGUUACGGCGUCAGCGACGUCCGAGACGGUCAACCGUCCGACCCGUCUUGAAACACGGACCAAGGAGUCUAACGUACGCGCGAGCUAAUGGGUGGAAAACCUAUAAGCGCAAUAAAAGUAAAAGCCGUUUCGGACGGCGCGGGGUACGAUCUCGUCGCAUACGUGCUUCGAGCGCAGUACCGUCCCGUUCUGACCGCUCGUCGGUAGGGCGGAGAUUGAGUGCAUACGUUGGGACCCGAAAGAUGGUGAACUAUGCCUGAGCAGAGCGAAGCCAGAGGAAACUCUGGUGGAGGUUCGUAGCGGUUCUGACGUGCAAAUCGAUCGUCAGACUUGGGUAUAGGGGCGAAAGACUAAUCGAACCAUCUAGUAG
rnacentral:rRNA from 1 species